GAUCAUGGCUCAGGUUGAACGCUAGCGACAGGCUUAACACAUGCAAGUCGAGGGGCAGCGGGGUGUAGCAAUACACCGCCGGCGACCGGCGCACGGGUGAGUAACGCGUAUGCAACUUGCCUAUCAGAGGGGGAUAACCCGGCGAAAGUCGGACGAAUACCGCAUGAAGCAGGGAUCCCGCAUGGGAAUAUUUGCUAAAGAUUCAUCGCUGAUAGAUAGGCAUGCGUU
rnacentral:rRNA from 1 species